UCAGGGUCUUUUUGAUUUGCAUUUCUCUGACAACUAAGGACUUUGAACAUUUCUUUAGGUGUAUCUCAGCCAUUCAAGAUUCCUCAGUUGUGAAAUCUUGGUUCAGUUCUAUACACCAUUUUUUCUGAAGCUUCAGAAUAGAGACCACAGAAAGUCCCCCGGAAGAGCCCGCCUCCCCUUCAGACUGUGGUCUGCCUCGAGGGUCUGAUUGGCUAGUGAGGCUUGAGUGACAAGAACCUCUGCCUUUUGCUUAGAGAAUGCAGAAGGGACACAGCACCUUCAACCCCAAGUGCAGACCUUUCCCAGAUCUGUAGAUGCCCUUGCCUCUGCCUCCAACUGGUUAUUCACCCUCUGUCUUCCUGUACUCGUUAUGUUUGCUUGCAUGAGUCUGUCCAGAACCCAAAGAGGCCAGAAGAGGACAGAAGAUACCAGCAACUGGAGUCCUGGAAGAAGAUACCAGCAUAGGUGUCCUGGAACUGGAACCCGUGUCCUCAGAAAAACACCCAGUGCUCUUACCUGCUGAAGCAUCUAUCUUUCCAGCCCUACAUUUUUAUUUAAAAUUCCCUUUUAUACUGGUUGAUUAAAAUAUAUUACACCUCA